GGGGCCAGUAGCUCAGCGGUAGAGCAGGGGACUCUUAAUCUCACGGCCACGCCGAAGUGGCCGAUCUCGCGAUUUCGAACGAAAACGAGCGGACGGCCCCC
rnacentral:tRNA from 1 species